rnacentral:rRNA from 1 species
UACGUAGGUGGCGAGCGUUGUCCGGAAUUACUGGGCGUAAAGCGCGCGCAGGCGGCGAUCUACGUCUGGGGUGAAAGCCCGGGGCUCAACCUCGGGAUUGCCUUGGAUACGGGAUCGCUUGAGGAUCGGAGAGGCAAGGGGAAUUCCACGUGUAGCGGUGAAAUGCGUAGAGAUGUGGAGGAACACCAGUGGCGAAGGCGACUUUCUGGUCUGUAACUGACGCUGAGGCGCGAAAGCGUGGGGAGCAAACAGG